AGUCCCGGGCUCUCUCGGGAGGCGGCGCCCCUUCUGCCUGCGGCCUGACAUACCAGGAAUAGCUGCACACAAUUGCACCUUUCCGGGCCAAGAAACUUCCCCCGCGGGGACGCGGAGCCACCAGGCCUCCACGCCACUACCCUCCGGCUCCACGGAGCUCGCUGACCGGUCCCAGAUGCUGCGCGGUCCCCGCUACUGCCCCGGCUUCCGGCCGCAGGGUACGGUGAACCGAAGGAACUUGGCUUUUCUCCCACCUCUCCUGCCUGCUUGGCCCAGUUCUGGACAUUGGCCCGCCCUCCCCCGGAGAAUCAAAACCUGUACCCUUCGUGGUGUGGCAAAGGUGACUGGUUAUUCAGAGUGAGCAGAGAGUUUGAGUAAGUGCUCGGGGCCUGGCCAGCAAAGUGCACAGGUGGUCCAAUGCCCCGCGAUCUCUCCAAGGAAACUCUGGGGACUCUCUGGGCUCCAACCAGGGUACUUGACCUAUGGAAGAAGAUAAGAUCAGCCCUUCUUUUCUGGAGGAGACGCAACAUUUCAUUCUUUUUUUCUUUUCUUUUUUUUUUCUUUUUUUUCUUUGUGUGUGUGUGUGUGUGUGUGUGUGAUUAAAGAAAUUUUCAAACGUAUGGCAGAGAAUCUUGUCUACGGAAACAGCCUAGCUUCUGUUUAAUGAUCAUUAGCACUUGGGCUUAUCUCACUAUAGAGAGGUUUAAAGUAGGAUACAUUUCAGCUCUAAAUAUCCCAGGAUACAGUUCAUCUUUAACGAACACUAUCCUGCAAUAUCAUAGACCAUUUUCACAUGUAACUAAAUAAAGCCAAUAAAAUUGCUAAUCAACCGGGCUCGGAUUUCCCUAGGAUGCCAAAGCGUCCUUUGCAGCUGACUUACCUAGACCUCGAGGCAAUCAGAGAAUCUGCAUUCCGUUUGAUUGCGGAUUUUUUACCCUAGAAGGGCCUCCUCCUCAAGCCCCUUCUUCCUUUUUUGGAAUGGCAUCGUGUGUUGAAAGAAACAAGUUGCCUUCUGGAUUUGUCUUAUGGCUUCUUUGUGGUGUCUUCACCACAUUUCUCUCCCAGUACUUCCUGCCUCCUGGAAGUUAGAUCUAAAGGCUGGGUUGGAACCCACUUGCUCUUGUGAAUGAAGACCAUCUGGAUUGGGGUGAUGGUUUCUGUUUAUCCCGAAGCCUUAUUUUUUUUUUUUUUUAAUUGGCCUGCUGUAAUCACUGGGUCUGCUUAGAAGAGCUGGCUGACAAACUUCAGGGAUUAUUCUUGCUAUGGCAGGAGGCCACUGACUGGACCAUCCCUCUCUGCCUGCUGCCUACACUCUUAUUAGGCCAAACCCUAGAGGAGAGUGGGAUGGUUAAAGAAAACAGGAAGAUGUUUCUCUCCUUUUCUCUAUCACAAAACUGCUGUCUUUGGCAAACAUGAAGUAAAAACUUAAUAUAACGCGAAAUGGUUUUAUUUAAGGGAGCGAGGGAAGGGUUGAUGUUUUGAGGCAAGCCCUCAUUAGUGUAGGCUAUAAUGGCCUGGAAUUCAUGCCAAUCCCCAUACCUUGGUUGGCCAGUCCAGUGCUGAAAUUACAAGUGUGAGCUACCACCCUGAUAAAGACACAAAAUAUCAUACUGAAAUACAUAGAAUACCAGAGCUUCAGUAUUGCCAGUGCAGCGGGACAGGAAGUUCUUAGGAUUCCUAUAUAAGCACAUGCUAUCUGAAAUGCCUCCUGUGGUCACAAGUGGUUUGAACAAGAAAUGCCCACCCUAGACACAAGUAUGUGAACACUUGGUCCCCAGCUGUUUGGAGGGGCUAUAGAACCUUUAGGAAGUGCAGGCUUGCUGGAGAAGUAUGUCGCUGGGAGCUGGGUUUGGGUGUUUACAGCUUCACCUUGCUUCCAGCUUGUGCUCUCUCUCUCUCUCUCUCUCUCUCUCUCUCUCUCUGUCUCUCUGUCUUCUGGGUGUGGUUAAAAAGCCUCCCUAGCUGUUAUGGACCCUGAGGCAAAAUAAACUAUCAUGAGUUGCUUUA